UCUUAUAAAUAAGAAAAGAAAGUGGUUUCUUGAGGUAGAAUCUACUUCUGGUUAAGUUGCUGUGAA
rnacentral:pre_miRNA from 1 species